CACUGAGGCGCGUGAUUGACGCAAGCGGUGUUUCUAAAAUUAGCAGCGGGCGACUCAACGGCGAAAGAUAGCCGAGGUCCCAUUCAUUCGUUCGGGGCGGGUCCGUUUAUUUUAGAAAUUUGAUUGUGCUCCAGCCAAGCCAAAUAUAGUCGUAGACAGGUAUUUUUAGCGGAAGCGCGUCCCCGUUUUUCUGCUUGGUAAUGGGUCGUUCACCGAUACCCCUGCGUUGCGACGAUGUGUAGUUAACUAACGCGCUGGGCAGCUAGUUGUGUCGGUGCAUGUUAUAUGGACCCGAUUAAAAGAGUUAAACGUGUUAGACACCCACCACUCCGACCCCUGUGUUUGUGGAAAAGGCGCUGAACCUGCAGUCGUACCAGCUGCGUCCUUCGGAACUUUUUUUUAAAAAACUUCCAGCAAACGGAGGGAUUUAGGGGGAGGGGAGGUGGGGUGGUUUAGUCGUUUGUUGGAAACUGACGUGUGGGUGAGCUGGGGUCACGGAUCGGAAACUGGGAACUCCUUGGGUAGAUCGCGGAUACUGUUAACGCUGCAGGUUUGUAGAGGUAGCAGCAUGUGCGCUUACACCGUUCACACAGACUAACUUUGUCUUUUUAUAGUAACAGUCACCCGCUCCUUAAGUUUUACUCCGGUAACUACUAAGUGACAGGACAUAAUGGCGAAAAUCUUUUUAUUUUUCCAAAUAAUACCUUGUUUCUUGCACGCCUGUAACUUACGUGUGGUUGUCUCGGCUUUGCUUGAGCACCCGGUUAACGUGACGAACCGACCGUGUUGUCAUUAACCCGAGUUGUGUAUCUUAUAGAUUCUUUCCCCGGACUUUUUGGCAGCCGGUUGUGUCGCUGAAUCCGGUGCAUCACAAGCAUUCGGGCGGGUAGCUGGCGUAUGUGUUGGUCCUCCUUUAUAGUAGACACUGCAUGGUCACUGCUGGUCCGUUGUGUACUAUCAGACAUACUAUAAUAUACUAUAUAAUGCAUUUGCACAACUUUAGUUAACACGCCCUAAUGAUCCAUGUUUGUUUACGAAAGGGAAUUACAACGAGGCAACAUGGGUAGGGGGGAAUCCCUUAGUACUACAGCUUUGAUCCAUUGAGGAGUUUUGGCCUGAUUGUCCGCUUAUGGUUAAAAAGUGCAUUUACGGCAGGAUCGUCGAUCCUGGGUUGUAAUAUUACCCCCCCCACACACACACACACUCUCUCUCUCUAGAAAAUGUAAAUAAUGCAUGUAUAUAAAACUCCCGAUUUUUUUACAUCAGAGUGGGGAGUUUACAUUACUUGCAUAUUAUAAAAUGAGCAUUCUUCUUUCUUACAGUAUGAAUUUCACAUAAUCAUUAUGCGCUUUCGUAAUUAGGAGACUGGCGCUUAUUUGACGUUUUUAGACGUCCAGCGGGUCUUACAUAAUUCGUAAGCGUCUGUGGUUUUGCAGCCUGAAGGCUGGCCGACACAAAGCCUUCCGUAAGCGGGGACCCGGGGGUCACUUGGUCCGCUGGAAGCUCUUCGCGAUGACGAGCGGCUUCGCAUUCAGAAAUUACGCCACCAAAAUGAGGCAGAUUGAAAUCUGAAAGCUGCUGUCCGACUGCUGUCAUCCGCUUCUUGUUAGGAUAAAAUGAGUGUUAACGUAACCAACCGGUAAUAGCCAUAAUGAACUCUUUUUUUUAUUUUAUUUUAUCUUUAAAGGACAGGGGCUGUAGUGACGUAAAGACGUAGAAGAUGAUCUUCCCUUUGGUCCGCACUAGACAUUCUGUUUUCUGUAAAUGAAAAGUAAACAUUUUUGUUAAAAAUAUAACAAAAAUUGUAUUUGGAUGGUUUUAGAAUUUAUGUAUAACAUGUAAGUCCCCUGUGUUUCCUUAAAACUGCCCUGUUGAAUAGAGUGCUGUACUUACAAAGAGUGGCCUUGAUUCGACUUGUGAAAUUUUCUGUGCUUUGUCAGAGGGGUAAUUGUGCUGCUGGCAAAGCUUGGAGCCGCUGAAAGGCAGCCUAAUUCUGGGGAUGGCCCAGACGUCGAUUGUCCAGGAAAGCUCACGGGAUUUCCCUAGCUGUAAUGGAACCAUCUGAAUCUUAUCUCAUCAUCGCGGCACACACACACACACACACCGGCUCUCACUUAGCGCUCUGUACGAGGGGGGCCAGGCUGUUGGCCCUGGAGGACAGAAGGAAUCCAAUCACACUUUUCUGGGGGUUCGAGUCCUGGAUAGACGGAGAAGCCUGGAUGCAGACUGGCUAAGAUAUUUAAGGGGUGUUUCUUCUUUCAAAAGCCGCCCAAUAAUAUCUGAGCUAUAAUUCAUAUACCUUGUAAAUUCUGUUGAUGUUGGUGUCUGGUGCUGUGCCACGGCUGCUGACGCCUUCCCUUGGGUUAUGGACCUCUAUGCUGUAAGAGUUAACCGUCUCCGGUGCAGCUGAACACAUGAUUAAAAGACAGCCGCAUGUGUCCUAGAUCACUACAUUCAUUUAUUCUUUGGAUGUGACAGUAUUUAAAAUACACAUAUUUGUCCUCCAGCUAUUUUUUAAAUAAAUAAAGUUAAGCCUUAUGUUCUGCAGUUCAGCCUUUGAACUUGCAAACCUUUUUUUCUCACAAGUCUAGUUCCUGAACCACCGGCGACUACCUUGUCCCUGUCAGGUAUUUGCUGGUUCUCCUUCUCGACAAAUGGUCACGUGUUGCUUCUCCCCUCCAAUGGGACACACCUUUGAGAGUUCAACCUACCAUUCGACUAACUGGGUGAUACUGUGGCCUAGCUUUAGCAUUAGCAUGCCUGCACUGUAACUGCUGUGAGCUGGUAUUAGCUUUAGCAUUCGUCUCAGUACCUCUUGUGGCCUGGUGUUAGCAUUAGCUUUAGCAUUCUUCCCAGCAACUCUUGUGGCCUGGUGUUCGCAUUAGCUUUAGCAUUCUUCCCAGCAACUCUUGUGGCCUGGUGUUAGCAUUAGCGUUCUUAUUCUUCCCAGCAACUCUUGUGGCCUGGUGUUAGCAUUAGCGUUCUUACUCAGUGGCUGGUCUUUGUGGUUAGUAACAGUCACAUGUUGCAUGCUCACCAUGCAUCUAUGGUGAUUGUCCUGCGAUUACUUGCUUACAGACAGACACCUGCGUUUAAACGAUAAACCUCAGUCAAUCUCUGCCUUUUGUCUUUGGCCCUCGACCUGUCAUACAGGCCGUUGCAUAUAACUAGACCCCCACAUCAUCUGAUUAACUGAAUGAUAUAAGGUGAAUGAAACACUUUCCCAGAACUUAAGCGCUUUCCCAUCAUGACCGUGUGUUUAACUGUAUGUUAACCAUAGCUUUGCAUUUUUUGCCAUUGUUUAGAUUGGCCAUUGAAUGGCAAAUUACAGGUUGGAGCGAGUCUGCGUGGAUCUUUCUGUAGGCUGAGAUGACUAUCGCUUCCCUUGCGGGCUUCUGUCAGCGUCAGACCAGUUUUUAAACAUUUUAUAUUGUCACGAUGUUUGUGCCAAAUGCCAUAUAUGAGGUGACAUCUUGCAGUGUUUCACACCAGAGAAUGGCAGAGCAAGAAGUGAUACGAGCAAAAAAUACAGGUCAGGGCUCAGGGCGUGGAUACCAGCCUUUGCUUGGAACUCGAAUAUCUGUUCCAUGAAUGUGGAAAAAGGUUCUGUUCUGCUGCUGUGAGGUUUAACUGGAGUGUAUAAUGCUGCUCGAUCUGUGAUGUUUUAUAAGGUUGCUACACUCUAACCUUUUGAUAGCGUGGGGGGGAAUCCCCUGCCCUGCCCCAUUCAGCCCACGCUGGGUAUGAGUCACACGGUCUACCUGAAUGGUAUCUCUCAGAAAGGCCAGUUUCUGUGGGCGCUGGGUGGGGUUGGGUGAGCGAGUGGCAUCCGGCUCUGAGAGGGGGCUGUUUGGGUCCAUGGGGAGCUUCUUCUGAAGGAGAUGGGGGCCAAGAGAGCGGAGAGCACGAGAGCGCUGUAACCCACGCAGAGCUGUGUGUCGCACUGAGACCUUUGCUCUUGCCUGCACUGGCUUGCUCCUUCUGCUGGGUCGAAGGUCUCACGUGGCUAACUGUGCUGUUAGCACAGUGCUAAGUGUUCCGGCUAGUAGGUUUACCUCCAAAUCCCCGAGCCCAUGGUCCCCGCUUUAAAGGCACUGAAGUUGUUUACUACACGCCGUGGGCGGUAACUAACAAACAAAACUCACUGCUGUCCCUCGGAGCGACAUUCCAGGAGCUGAGAUUUAUCUUUGCUUAAUGUCCUGCUCCUUUUCGCUGUUGUAUUGAAAACCUGUGAGCCUCUGCGUUUGUCAGUGACAGGAAGUCGCAUCCUGUGGUCUGUGGGAAGGAGGCAGUUCCGGGCACCUAGGACAGGACAGAAUGCAUGUAUGCAUUCUGUGGUCAUUUUAAUCAAUAAUUCACUGGAGAACAUUACUUAUUCAGUAAUAUGAAUAUACAGUACAUUUUGAAUUUAUUUGAAUACUUGGAUAGCACCCUUUAAAACAGGAAGAGGGCACAGAUCUCAUGGGACAGGGUGAAGUGAUGUCAAGUGACAAGCCGCUUUUACCUAAAAUGGGUUUCCUCGGUGUAAACCUGUCACCAAGCGCCCAAACACACAUUCUGGCCAGAUGUUCUUGCUGGUCCUUGAACCUGACAUCUGGUCUUGUGCUUCCUUCCCGUUCUUACAUUUCGUUUGGGUUCUGACCCUCCAUGUUGCAUUACCCAAAUAACUGAAGUGAGUCUUACAAGUCCUGAGCUAAAUGAUUCUUACCGAAGGCGAAGUAUGAGGGUGUGUAGACAUCUAAGAAACUUUAAUUAUAGGUUGAGAGAUGACCUCUAUGUGCAUUCACAGUCAUUCUCAUGAUGUAACAGCAAUUUGCCUGAAACGUGAUCAGAUAUAACGAUUUCGCAAUCGGUUCCCGGUCCGUCUUCCGGAAUCCCACACCCGUCGAUCCUUGCCACGUAGAGGUAGCCCUGCCGCGGUUCCGUCUCGGGCUCAUGGUUCUGCGUUAAUCUCUGCACAUGCCGACCAGAACCCUGACAUUCAGCCUGACAUUUCACCAUGUGAAUCAGCCGGUCGUCAUGCUUCUAGCAAGUUGCUCGUUUUCGCACCUCUGGACUUUUCACUCUGCAGUUUUGCUGCGUAGUUUCGUCCGUGUGAAUCUGUUUUUUUUUUUUUUUUAUAUAAUAAUGUUAUGCCAUGACAGCCAUACAUUAUUUUUUUUUUGGCACGUUGUUUAUGAGAGUUGGUGGUGAUUACCGAGUCUUAUUCACCACCCAGAUAAAAAAAAAAAAACUCUAGUUUCUUUUGUUGGGGACUCAGAGAGGCUUCCUUGUUUGUUUGUUUUUUCGAGUAGCUGAAUUAGGGUGAUUGUAUGUGUAAUAUUAUACUUGUUGUGUCCUGUGUCCGCAGCCUGGAGAUGUAAGGGCUUCUGGGAAGCAGGUGCCGCUCAGCCCGCUUGGUCAUGUGACCUGAGGCAGUGUGGCAGUCCCCGCUCUGCCCAUCGAGUGUGCGUGCUGCUGCUCCCGUGUCCCAUGAUCGGUUGUGGGAGGGGCAUUUAAAGUCAGGUCUUGUGAUGAGUCAUGUGAGAGAGUGGUUACCCCUGGGGUUCUGGGGUGUUGUCUUUGGGCCCGGGACUGCCUGUUCCCACUGAGGACAGGUGUUAGGGCUCGGGACCCCUGCCCCGUGGCCAGCCGCCUGUUAGCACGGGGGUGGGGGGUGUUAGACUUGGGUUUCAUGCACACAGCCACGCGAGCAGACGGCUGCCAGACACAAAGCCCUGAGCUGGUCGCUUAUCAGCAGCAGUGCUGCAGAUUAGUAUUUAUUUAUUUAUUUUUUAUUGGGACUGGCUGAAAUUAAAAUAUUUUUCCUGUGCUCUUCUUGAAAUGUGAUCUGGUUUCAUUGCUGAGCAGGAUUUAUAUUUAGACGUUGCUGUUUAAUGUUCUGCUUGGUGCCUUGCUGAGCUGGGUCGCCUUUCAACAAGAGCCAGCGGGGGGCCAUUUCAGUCGUGGAAUCCUCUUUUUUUCCAGAAUGAAAGUUGUGAUGAUCACUGUGAUUUGGUAACAUUUUACUUCUGCGGCCGCAAGUUACUCAGUAAUACAGUUACUACUCAGGUGCAAAUCCUGAACAAACAUAUUAAGAGCGUGAAAUAUAUGAACCGUUAUGAUUGAUUUAUGAUGAAUGAACAUGGGAUCAGUACGUAACUAACACUUAGUUUCUGGUUAAUUAAUACAUUAAUUAAGCGUGUACUACUACAUUAUUUGUGCCGCCUCAAGUAAAGUGUUACCUGUGAUUCUAAUUUCACUUCUGAAGUUGGGAAGAAAUUCUGUGUUCCAGUAUUUACGUGUCUCACCAGACAUUACUCUGUCGUGAUUUUUGACAAGCUUGCUCCAAACCAUGUUGCUGUUUGUCACCAUGAUGCCGACGACCUCCGACUCCUGUUUGAGGUGCCGAGGCCUGGACACAGUGCUGCAGCUUCAUGAGGACAGCUGGCAUCGGUUGACUGGCCAGAAAGUCCCGCGAAGCUUGCUAUCGACGUGGUGCGGGGAUGCGAGCGUGAGGAUGUGGACCCCUGGGAUGGAGACUGCAGCUUGAAGCGGAGGCUGAGGACCAGUCAUGUGACCAGGACCAGGGAGAGCGUGAGCACGUGUCGGGGAUUCCAGGAGAUCGCGUCACCCAGGCAAAAAUAAAAAAAAAAUGGCUCCGCUGGGACAGCAGCAGAUGUCAUGAGUGCUGGGUCUUGAUGAAGAUGCCACUGGGUGAAAGAAGAAGGUGGAUUUGAGACCAGGAGGUUGCAGGUUCAGAGCCCGUGAGAAGCGCUGCCGUGGAACUCCUCGUGCGAAUGUGAAAAUAAGCUUCACCCACGAGAAUCGGCUAAUAAAAAGAGUGAGCGAGUUGCGCUCUUGCGUGAUACGGCCCUAAGACGCGGCAUGUGGAGUGAGCGAGUUGCGCUCUUGCGUGAUACGCCCCGGCUGUUACCGACCUUUUGCGUAUCUCUGCAGGUCGCAGUUCUGCUAACGUGACGUUUACGUGGGAGUUCGUCCGGCGACAUUUUCGCCCUGUGCUGCUCUCUGUCGGCACGCCCGGCUGCCCUUUCAGUAUUUGUUGAAUCUCCUGGGCUUUGUCGUCCUCACCGUCACGGCGGUGAUGCUGCGUGGGUCGGGGCCCUCUGUGGAAACGGCAGCCCAGGGCACCACCUGCAGGCCGGCUUCCCAUAAAGCCCAGGGUGUCCCCGCCUCCAGAACGUGAAAGAUAACAAAAUGUUAAGUGAUUCCCAUCGCUCAGGCAUCCCGAUGAAAAGUAAACAAGAGGAUGACUAAGAGGUAGUUCUGUGAUUCAGAGGAACUGUCUCCUGGGAAAUCACUGAGAACCAUCUGGUUAUGACUUAAUGUUAGUGCCCUUAGAGAGCAGGGGAUGUGUGCUACUUGGGAAGCGAACAAUAAAGCAUGGAAUCCAGUGGUGCAAAACCAUGUGGGUAUUAGCUCUGAGCUCCUACCUUCAUUCCUUAAUGAUCUGGUGUGUGUGUAUAUAUAUGAAUAUAUAUGUGAAUGAAGGGUAUUUGAGGGUUGCUACUAUGCUUGAUUUUCAGGGAAUGCUCAGCUCAGUUUUGAAUUAAAUGGUUCAGUUAAAGCUGCAGGAUUUAGUAAAGUAUUAACCUGCAGAAAGGAUCCUCCAUGCAUCUAGUUAGACACCUUUGCUCUGUGAUGUUGUAGCCCUGCAGUUCUGUAGUGUGUCACUGCUAGUAUAUGUCUGUCAUGAUGGUGAGGUCUGUCCCUGCUUGUUCCUUGGUGUGCCUGCCAGUUCUGUUGUGCCUCACGGUGUGCGGGAAAUGUGUUCAG